rnacentral:rRNA from 1 species
UACGGAGGAUGCGAGCGUUAUCCGGAUUUAUUGGGUUUAAAGGGUGCGUAGGCGGGCUUUUAAGUCAGCGGUAAAAAUUCGGGGCUCAACCCCGUCCGGCCGUUGAAACUGGGGGUCUUGAGUGGGCGAGAAGUAUGCGGAAUGCGUGGUGUAGCGGUGAAAUGCAUAGAUAUCACGCAGAACUCCGAUUGCGAAGGCAGCAUACCGGCGCCCGACUGACGCUGAGGCACGAAAGCGUGGGGAUCGAACAGG